CAUAUAAAUGUGCAUGGUCAAGUGCACGUUUCACAAGCGAAUAUAACGACAUAUCGCACCAACAUGGGUCUUUCUGGCACUUUAGUUGUCGUCAUGCUCCUGGCCCUUGUGGCCUUUUCAAGUGAAAGAUGUGAUGCUGCCUGUGGACAGCGGUGCAGGCGCAAUGACGACGGAUCCACACAUGGUUGCAGUGGUCCCUGCAUAUGUAGAACGCCUACGUCUUCUUCAGGAAUCGCGCUCUAUGGGCAAGGAACAUGCGUUCCUGCGUCAUAGCUGAAAGUGUCCUCCAAACUGGUAUCAUUGUUAACCUGAGAACCACUUGGAACAUUUCGAUCAAAUAAAGCUGAUAAUUUCACAGCUGC
rnacentral:lncRNA from 1 species